rnacentral:rRNA from 1 species
GAAUCUGCCUAUUAGUGGGGGACAACAUUCCGAAAGGAAUGCUAAUACCGCAUACGCCCUACGGGGGAAAGCAGGGGAUCUUCGGACCUUGCGCUAAUAGAUGAGCCUAAGUCAGAUUAGCUAGUUGGUGGGGUAAAGGCCUACCAAGGCGACGAUCUGUAGCGGGUCUGAGAGGAUGAUCCGCCACACUGGGACUGAGACACGGCCCAGACUCCUACGGGAGGCAGCAGUGGGGAAUAUUGGACAAUGGGCGAAAGCCUGAUCCAGCCAUGCCGCGUGUGUGAAGAAGGCCUUUUGGUUGUAAAGCACUUUAAGCGAGGAGGAGGCUACUUGGAUUAAUACUCUAGGAUAGUGGACGUUACUCGCAGAAUAAGCACCGGCUAACUCUGUGCCAGCAGCCGCGGUAAUACAGAGGGUGCGAGCGUUAAUCGGAUUUACUGGGCGUAAAGCGUGCGUAGGCGGCUUUUUAAGUCGGAUGUGAAAUCCCUGAGCUUAACUUAGGAAUUGCAUUCGAUACUGGGAAGCUAGAGUAUGGGAGAGGAUGGUAGAAUUCCAGGUGUAGCGGUGAAAUGCGUAGAGAUCUGGAGGAAUACCGAUGGCGAAGGCAGCCAUCUGGCCUAAUACUGACGCUGAGGUACGAAAGCAUGGGGAGCAAACAGGAUUAGAUACCCUGGUAGUCCAUGCCGUAAACGAUGUCUACUAGCCGUUGGGGCCUUUGAGGCUUUAGUGGCGCAGCUAACGCGAUAAGUAGACCGCCUGGGGAGUACGGUCGCAAGACUAAAACUCAAAUGAAUUGACGGGGGCCCGCACAAGCGGUGGAGCAUGUGGUUUAAUUCGAUGCAACGCGAAGAACCUUACCUGGUCUUGACAUAGUAAGAACUUUCCAGAGAUGGAUUGGUGCCUUCGGGAACUUACAUACA